rnacentral:rRNA from 1 species
UACGAAGGGUGCAAGCGUUAAUCGGAAUUACUGGGCGUAAAGGGUGCGUAGGCGGUUGUUUAAGUCUGUCGUGAAAUCCCCGGGCUCAACCUGGGAAUGGCGAUGGAAACUGGGCAGCUAGAGUGUGUCAGAGGAUGGUGGAAUUCCCGGUGUAGCGGUGAAAUGCGUAGAGAUCGGGAGGAGCACCAGUGGCGAAGGCGACUACCUGGCCUGUUCUUGACGCUGAGGCGCGAAAGCUAGGGGAGCAAACGGG